AGCAGUUGUGAUUUGCAAAGGUUUCUUACCAUUGUCCUGGGUUCUACCUUGGCCUUAAGCUUCGUCCUAUCUGCUUUCUUCAUAUACAAGAUCAAGACAAAAAGAUGUUAUCACUGCAAAGCAUCUGGUAAUGUUCAGCAGAGAGACGAGGACUCUUUGGUCUAUUCGGCGCUGACCGUCGUCUCCAGGAAAAGGGUUCAAUUGGAUCGGGCCGAUGGAGACUUCAGCACAUAUACAGACGUCUGUCUUCGGAAAUCUUAGAGGCUAAAUUAAUUCAUACAAGCCUUUUCUGUAAAUCCUAAAUUUAUUCUGAUUACAAAGUAUUUAGGAAGACCAAGAAACCAUUUUUUGGGGAAUUUGAUUUUAACAAUACUAGGUGUACAAAAAGUAUAAUAUACGAGAUGUAAGAUUGUAAAUGCCAUUAUAACGAUGUAUACUUGUGAAAAACUGCAUUAAGGACUAAUGCACCACAUUUAUUUCAUAUUUAUAUCAUAUUUCAGUAAUUGAUGACGAUUUUUAAUGCAGAGAUAAUGUGAUCAUGUUGCAAUGUUGUUUUAAGUCAGGUAUUACUUGUGCUUUGCACAAAAAUCAAUUAGAAAUACAUUAGAAAUACAUUGCAUUUGUGUUUAGUUUCAACAUGUGAUGUUCGUGCUUAUUUCCUGAAAAUAAAUAAGUCUUGAAAUGUA